AAAGAUACCGCCGAUGGCCGCAAGGCACAGGUAAGGGUGAAAUGGUGGAGUAAGAGCCCACCGCGAAUCCGGGUAACCGGACGGCACGGCAAACCCCGCGUGGUGCAAGACAGAACAGGGAAAGGGCGGCCCGCCCGUUAAACUCCCGGGUAUUAGUCGCACUCUGCGCAAGCAGGGCGCUCCGCUCCGGCGGGGUGAGAGAAAUGACCGUCCAGCUCCGCAAGGGGUGGACAGAAUCCGGCUUACAGGGGAGCGGCACUC
rnacentral:RNase_P_RNA from 1 species